AUGCACGCUAGCGAUAGGCUUAACACCUGCAAGUCGAGGGGCAGCAUGGUCUUAGCUUGCUAAGACUGAUGGCGACCGGCGCACGGGUGCGUAACGCGUAUGCAACUUGCCUCACAGAGGGGGAUAACCCGUCGAAAGACGGACUAAUACCGCGUACACUCCAUCUUGGGCAUCCAAGGUAGAGGAAAUGAAAUUCGCUGUGAGAUAGGCAUGCGUCCCAUUAGCUAGUUGGUGAGGUAACGGCUCACCAAGGCGACGAUGGGUAGGGGAACUGAGAGGUUGAACCCCCACACUGGUACUGAGACACGGACCAGACUCCUACGGGAGGCAGCAGUGAGGAAUAUUGGUCAAUGGGCGAGAGCCUGAACCAGCCAAGUCGCGUGAAGGAUGACUGUCUUAUGGAUUGUAAACUUCUUUUAUACGGGAAUAACAAGAGUCACGUGUGACUCCCUGCAUGUACCGUAUGAAUAAGCAUCGGCUAACUCCGUG
rnacentral:rRNA from 1 species